CCGCAACGGGAGGAGCGUGCGGUUUAAUUGGAUUCAACGCCGAAAAACUCACCAGCAGCGACUGUUACAUGAAAGUCAGGUUGAUGACCUUACUAGAUUUUCAGAGAGGUGGUGCAUGGCCGUCGUCAGUUCGUACCGUAAGGCGUUCUCUUAAGUGAGAUAACGAACAAGACCCUCACCAAUAGUUGCUACCGUAUCCCCCGGGGUACGAGCACACUAUCGGGACCGCUGGCGCUAAGUCAGAGGAAGGAGAGGUCAACGGUAGGUCAGUAUGCCCCGAAUCUGCUGGGCUACACGCGCGCUACAAAGGGCGGGACAAUGGGCUCCGACGCCGAAAGGCGAAGGCAAUCUCGAAACCCGUCCGUAGUUCGGAUUGAGGGUUGUAACUCACCCUCAUGAAGCUGGAUUCCGUAGUAAUCGCGAGUCAACAACUCGCGGUGAAUAUGCCCCUGCUCCUU
rnacentral:rRNA from 1 species